AUUUCAGCCUUUCUUCUUUUCUCAUCUAAGCAUUUAAAGUUGUCUAUUCCUCCUAGAGGUGCCUGGUGGCUUAGUCAGUUAAGCUCACAUUUUGGCUCACAUCAUGAUCUCAGGGGUGUGAGUUCUAGCCCUGUGUCUAGCUUCAUAUUCAGCAUGGAGCCUGCUUGAGAUUCUCUCUUCCUCUUCAUCUACCUCUCUCCCUGCUUGCAUGCUCUCUCUCUCUCUCUCUCUCAAAUAAAUAAAUAAAGUCUUUUUUUUUUUUUUUUUUUUAAAGUAAAGCUAUCUAUUCCUCAAGUGUUGACUUGGCUAUGUUCAUUAAUUUUGAUGUGUAGCAUUUUCACUGACAUUCAGCUCUAUAUAAGUUCUAAUUUCCACUUUAGUUCUUUCUUUGAUCUUUGACUUAUUUAGAAGUAUGCUCAUAAAUUUUUAAAAUCAUAAGAUUCUCUUUGUUUUGUUGUUUAAUUCCAACUGAAUUGCUUUGUGGUUAGAGAAUGCAGUGUGAAUGCUUUGCUUCUGAAUCUUGCUGGACUUGCUUUAUGUCUGGAAGACUAGGUUUUGUAUAUUAGGUGAAAGCCAUAGGGGUGGUACUUUACAUACAUUAUCUUGACUUUUCCCAACAGAGAUUCCAACACAAAAUCACAUGUAUUUAACGGAUGAAGAAACUGAGGCUCAGAGAGGUAAGUGGAGGAGGCAAGAGCUAAUUCAGGGCUGUGAAUUCCUGCAUUUAUCUACCUUCGUUUUCCUGUGUAGACACAAGGCUGCCUGGCUUCAGAGAGAGCUACCAUCAGGGUAUCCUGAAGAAGCACCCCUUCUGGGGCCCCCAGAGUGUGAGUGGAGCUUACGAUGGUCCCACUGGCAGUCGAAUCCACCCAGUUUCUUCUGUAGACAAAUGUUUGGAUUGAACUUCAACCUCUGCACAAUGAGGAAACAUGUUUUAAAGGCCUCACAUGUCAAAAAAGUCUUAUAAAAUGAACUUAACGAGACUUCUGGAUACAGUGGGAGCCAUAUGAUUGGCUUCUCUGGUGCUCAAGGCUGGAAUGCAGCCUCUAAAGCUCCUGCCACGUGGCACUCCACGCCUGGUCUGUCUUCUUCUGGCCACAUCCUGUGUCCCCUGCCCGCCCCUCCUACUUCCCUGAUAAAAUGCUCACCUAGAGAUUGUUCUGAGAUGACUAACUGAAAUGCUUUACAAAUAAACUGUGCUACAGCAGUACCUGGGUAGCUCA
rnacentral:lncRNA from 1 species